rnacentral:rRNA from 1 species
GAUGAACGCUAGCGGCGGGCUUAAUACAUGCAAGUCGAGGGGUGGUAGCAAUACUACACCGGCGCACGGGUGCGUAACGCGUAUGCAAUCUACCUUUAUCUGGGGGAUAGCCCGGGGAAACCCGGAUUAAUACCGCAUAACAAAUUUCUUGGCAUCAAGAGAUUUUAAAAGAUUUAUCGGAUAGAGAUGAGCAUGCGUAAGAUUAGAUAGUUGGCGAGGUAACGGCUCACCAAGUCUACGAUCUUUAGGGGCUCUGAGAGGAGAAUCCCCCACACUGGCACUGAGAUACGGGCCAGACUCCUACGGGGGGCAGCAGUAGGGAACAUUGGGCAAUGGGCGCAAGCCUGACCCAGCCACGCCGCGUGCAGGAAGAAGGCCCUCUGGGUUGUAAACUGCUUUUGACUGGGAAGAAAAGACUCCUUGCGAGGAGAGUUGACGGUACCAGCAGAAUAAGCCACGGCUAACUACGUGCCAGCCGCCGCGGUAACAC